UACGGAGGGUGCAAGCGUUAAUCGGAAUUACUGGGCGUAAAGGGCGCGUAGGUGGUCUGAUAAGGGUGUGGUGAAAGCCCGGGGCUCAACCCCCGGGGUCGCCGUGCCGACUGUUAGACUAGAGUGCUGUAGGGGCAGGCGGAAUUCCGGGUGUAGCGGUGGAAUGCGUAGAGAUCCGGAGGAAGACCGGUGGCGAAGGCGGCCUGCUGGGCAGUACUGACACUGAGCGCGACAGCGUGGGGAGCAAACAGGG
rnacentral:rRNA from 1 species